UAUCAUGGAACACUACCCUUUGUUCUAAAGUCAAUCUGUCCAAAUUAAAUUAGUAUCCAAAAUUUACAUUUAUUCGUCUUAGUUCAUGGCAUAUAUAUAACUAUAUAAGUAUACAUGGUUCACCAUUAUUAAGAAGUUCUUUAUAAUCGUGACAUGGUUCACGUAACAGCUAUCCUCAAAAUAGAGAAUGUGUUGCUGAUUAUAUUUCCGAGGACCCAGUGGUACCCACAUACGUCCACACUUUCGAAGAAUGGCUAUAUUUAGUUGAAAAUAUUAGACCCUUUUUCAAAGAGGGCCAACAUUUUUUCAACCCUUUCUGCUAUCAGCUCCCCUACCAGUGAAAGAAUGCAAAAAGGUGUUAUGGAUUAUCCACAAAAGAUAAUUUCAUAUCUCUUUAGAACUAACCAAACAUAUUACCACUUUUAUUUAAGCCUUGCCACUUUGCCAGUCGCCACUCGCCACCAAUACUCAGCCAAGUGACUCUAAAAUAUUAUCUAAGAGAAGAGGGAACAAUAAUUUAGUCAAAUCAGUUAUGGAAUGGAAACUAAGUACAUGGAAAGAGACCUCGGGGAAGACCUAGGAAAAUAUGCAUUGAUUCAGUCGAAGAAGACCUGAAAGACACGGAAAUUGACACGUGGAGAGAACUGGUACAUGGCAUGGACAGUUGGUGCAAUGUUGUUUUGGUGGCACUCUUAGAAAGUUAUAAAAGCCACAAGAAGAAAGAAGAAGAAAGACAUUAUUAAAAGGUAUACUUUUGGUUUUAUCGAUGACAUGCACUGGGAAGCACAAAUACAAAAUGUCAAAAUGGUAUAAAACAAGAAAACCAAUGCGAACAUUUUAUCCAUAUCCCAUGGUAGAACACAAAACAUUAAGAGACCUGCAGAUAUCUGUGAUAAUAGACCGCAUAGGCGCUAUAACAACUAAUAUUUAUAGCCUUAUAGAAUAUAGGUAGGUGCUUUAAAGUUACCAACGUACAACCAUAGAGGCAUAGACCUUAUACUAAAAGCCAAGAACUGUGUAUUAUACUUAUACAGUAUAUAACAAAUAAUUAACAACAGUAUGGCGAGCGGCGUAUCAACACCUCGCAGCGAUGGAAGCUGUUUUAAACCACCCCUCCCCCUCCUCCC